UCGAGAAUUUUUCUCAAUGGGGGAAACCCUGAAGGAGCGACGCCGCGUGGAGGAUGAAGGUCUUCGGAUCGUAAACUCCUGUCAUUUGGGAACAAUUGUUAGCGAUUAACUGUCGUUAGCUUGAUAGUACCAGAAGAGGAAGAGACGGCUAACUCUGUGCCAGCAGCCGCGGUAAUACAGAGGUCUCAAGCGUUGUUCGGAUUCAUUGGGCGUAAAGGGUGCGUAGGUGGCGAGGUAAGUCAGGUGUGAAAUCUCGGGGCUCAACCUCGAAACUGCACUUGAUACUGCCUUGCUUGAGUACUGGAGAGGAGAUUGGAAUUUACGGUGUAGCAGUGAAAUGCGUAGAUAUCGUAAGGAAGACCAGUGGCGAAGGCGAAUCUCUGGACAGUUACUGACACUGAGGCACGAAGGCCAGGGGAGCAAACGGG
rnacentral:rRNA from 1 species